GACGAACGCUGGCGGCGUGCUUAACACAUGCAAGUCGAACGGAAAGGCCCUGCUUUUGUGGGGUGCUCGAGUGGCGAACGGGUGAGUAACACGUGAGUAACCUGCCCUUGACUUUGGGAUAACUUCAGGAAACUCGGGCUAAUACCGGAUAGGAGCUCCUGCUGCAUGGUGGGGGUUGGAAAGUUUCGGCGGUUGGGGCUGGAAUCGCGGCUUAUCAGCUUGUUGGUGGGGUAGUGGCUUACCAAGGCUUUGACGGGUAGCCGGCCUGAGAGGGUGACCGGCCACAUGGGGACUGAGAUACGGCCCAGACUCCUACGGGAGGCAGCAGUGGGGAAUAUUGCACAAUGGGCGGAAGCCUGAUGCAGCAACGCCGCGUGCGGGAUGACGGCCUUCGGGUUGUAAACCGCUUUCGCCUGUGACGAAGCGUGAGUGACGGUAAUGGGUAAAGAAGCACCGGCUAACUACGUG
rnacentral:rRNA from 1 species